rnacentral:lncRNA from 1 species
AGGCAGAAGGGGGAAGAAGACAAAGAAAUAAACAGUUUUCAGACUUUCCCAAGAGCUUCUUCACCCACAACACUCCUGGGAGGCAGCUCGCUAGGUUGGCCAGAUGAGGAAACUGAGGACCCGAGAGUACUCAACUUACCCACAGUAAGCUUAAAGGCCCCUGGGAGCACCAUAGUGCCCAGAGCGCUGGGUCCCAGGUCAGGGAGGCCCAGGUCUGAGACCAGAGACAUCUGGCCUCAAAUCCUCACGAACUUUAGGACACAGGGCUGGAAUCCGUUAACUUCUAUUUGCCUCAGUUUAUCCACAUGUACAACGGGGGUAACAGCAGCACCACCUCGUGGGGUUUUUGUGAGCACCACUGGAGAUAAUAUUUGUGAAGCACUCGUCAGGACACACAGCAGGUGCUCCAGUUCUUCUCAAAGCUGACAUGUGAAGCCAGGGCUUUCCUCCUACACAGGCCUCUUCCCCACUGGUGAGCUCGGAGGGGGAGCAGCUUCCACAGGCAGGGAGGCUUGCGGGCAUCCUGCCGGGGCCAAGAGUUGGGGGCAGGCGGCAAAGACCCUGUCUGUGAAAACAACGGGAGACCCAGGCCCGAGCUCCAAGGGGUGGCAGCCUUCGGAAAGAGAGAGGGAACACUCAAGGAGCUGCCCCCAGAGGAGCUGGGCGGUGAUGAGAGCCAGGGCCAGGGACGAAGGAGAGUGGGGUCCCGCUGAAGGCACUGAGGGGGGCCAGAGGAGAAGCCUGAGGCACCAGGAGAGACGGAGGCGGGGGGCCUGUGGCCGGGACAGGAAUUUCAGAUGUUCAGAGAACACCUGGCGGUCACCUGAGUGUGAGUGUGUGGAGGAUGUGUGUUCAUGUAGGUGUGUGUGUAGGGUUGUGUGUGUGCAUGUAUGUGAGGGCACACGUGCA